CAGCAGCCGCGGUAAUACGUAGGGUGCGAGCGUUAAUCGGAAUUACUGGGCGUAAAGCGUGCGCAGGCGGUUGUGUAAGACAGGUGUGAAAUCCCCGGGCUUAACCUGGGAAUGGCGCUUGUGACUGCAAAGCUAGAGUGCGGCAGAGGGGGAUGGAAUUCCGCGUGUAGCAGUGAAAUGCGUAGAUAUGCGGAGGAACACCGGUGGCGAAGGCAAUCCCCUGGGCCUGCACUGACGCUCAUGCGCGAAAGCGUGGGGAGCAAACAGGAUUAGAUACCCCCGUAGUCCCUGUCUCUUAUAC
rnacentral:rRNA from 1 species